CUCUGCUUCCACCCCCGACCCACCCCCGGCUGCAGGGACCGCUUCAGGGAGCGGCACAGGGCUUGAGGGGGGCAAUCCGCUGUAGUUGCCCACCCCUGGCCUGGAGAUAAUCUAAUAUCCUAGGAAGAGAGUGAGUUGGAGAAAUCUGAUGCCUGUUACACUAAAGAUAAUAUUUCAAUUUCUGGAGGACUUUCCUGAAUCCUUGAGAUGAGAUAUGCUAAGUGCAAGAAAACUGGAGAAAAGGAGGUAUCUGUUGAGUCCACAAAGACCUUGAGAUCAUUAAAGGGGAGAUUUUCAAUGGUACUCUGAACCUCUCCCUGAAAGCCCAACAUCUGCAGCCAAGGUCUCUUCUCAUGACCACUGCAGUGUAUACAGACCAUGCUGCAGAAUCUGGUAUGUCUAAGGAGGCCUGAAGCAAUGUCCUUGCUAGAAACUGGCCCCCUUGAAUAUUGGCUUUAAAUCAGUCACAAUG